AACGAACGCUGGCGGCGUGCCUAACACAUGCAAGUCGAACGUGAUUAGAGAGCUUGCUCUCUAUGGAAGUGGCGCACGGGUGAGUAACGCGUAGAUAAUCUACCUGAUGAUCCGGGAUAACACUUCGAAAGGGGUGCUAAUACCAGAUAAGCCCACGGGGUCCUUGGACUCUGCGGGAAAAGGAGGGGACUUUCGGGCCUUCCGUCAUCAGAUGAGUCUGCGUACCAUUAGCUAGUUGGUAGGGUAAAGGCCUACCAAGGCGACGAUGGUUAGCUGGUCUGAGAGGAUGAUCAGCCACACUGGAACUGAGACACGGUCCAGACUCCUACGGGAGGCAGCAGUGGGGAAUUUUGCGCAAUGGGGGAAACCCUGACGCAGCAACGCCGCGUGAGUGAUGAAGGCCCUUGGGUCGUAAAGCUCUGACAGAGGGAAAGAAGUGUAUUGUGGCUAAUAUCCACGAUACUUGACGGUACCCUCAAAGGAAGCACCGGCUAACUCCGUGCCAGCAGCCGCAGUAAAAC
rnacentral:rRNA from 1 species